UACGUAGGGGCUAGCGUUAUCCGGAAUUACUGGGCGUAAAGGGUGCGUAGGCGGACUAUUAAGUCAGUGGUGAAAGCCUGCAGCUUAACUGCAGAACUGCCAUUGAUACUGAUAGUCUUGAGUUUGGUUAAGGUAGGCGGAAUGUGUAAUGUAGCGGUGAAAUGCUUAGAUAUUACACAGAACACCAAUUGCGUAGGCAGCUUACUGAGCCGACACUGACGCUGAGGCACGAAAGCGUGGGGAUCAAACAGGAUUA
rnacentral:rRNA from 1 species